rnacentral:tRNA from 1 species
GGGCGUGUAGCUCAGCUUGGAUAGAGCACCAGCCUUCUAAGCUGGGGGUCCGGGGUUCGAAUCCUCGCACGCCCA